AUCAGUGUGUGUAGUUCUUGAAAUACAUUCAGGAAUGUAUAUCCUGAAUAGUUAGAGUACCCCUAGUUAGAAAGCUGUGCCAGCCAACCUCACUGGUU